rnacentral:rRNA from 1 species
UACGAGGGGGGCAAGCGUUGUUCGGAAUUAUUGGGCGUAAAGGGUGCGUAGGUGGUUCGGCAAGUCUUGUGUGAAAUCUUCAGGCUCAACUUGAAGUCUGCACAAGAAACUGCCGGGCUUGAGUAUGGGAGAGGUGAGUGGAAUUUCCGGUGUAGCGGUGAAAUGCGUAGAUAUCGGAAGGAACACCUGUGGCGAAAGCGGCUCACUGGACCAUUACUGACACUGAGGCACGAAAGCUAGGGGGGAGCAAACAGGAUUAGAUACCCUGGUAGUCCUAGCCCUAAACGAUGAUCGCUUGGUGUGGCGGGUAUCCAACCCUGCCGUGCCGUAGCUAACGCGUUAAGCGAUCCGCCUGGGGAGUACGGUCGCAAGGCUGAAACU